rnacentral:rRNA from 1 species
ACGAACGCUGGCGGCGUGCCUAAUACAUGCAAGUAGAACGCUGAAGGAGGAGCUUGCUUCUCUGGAUGAGUUGCGAACGGGUGAGUAACGCGUAGGUAACCUGCCUGGUAGCGGGGGAUAACUAUUGGAAACGAUAGCUAAUACCGCAUAAUAGCAGUUGUUGCAUGACAACUGUUUGAAAGGUGCAAUUGCACCACUACCAGAUGGACCUGCGUUGUAUUAGCUAGUUGGUGGGGUAACGGCUCACCAAGGCGACGAUACAUAGCCGACCUGAGAGGGUGAUCGGCCACACUGGGACUGAGACACGGCCCAGACUCCUACGGGAGGCAGCAGUAGGGAAUCUUCGGCAAUAGACGGAGGUCUGACCGAGCAACGCCGCGUGAGUGAAGAAGGUUUUCGGAUCGUAAAGCUCUGUUGUAAGAGAAGAACGAGUGUGAGAGUGGAAAGUUCACACUGUGACGGUAUCUUACCAGAAAGGGACGGCUAACUACGUG